rnacentral:rRNA from 1 species
GAUGAACGCUGGCGGCGUGCCUAAUACAUGCAAGUCGAGCGAACAGACGAGGAGCUUGCUCCUCUGACGUUAGCGGCGGACGGGUGAGUAACACGUGGAUAACCUACCUAUAAGACUGGGAUAACUUCGGGAAACCGGAGCUAAUACCGGAUAAUAUAUUGAACCGCAUGGUUCAAUAGUGAAAGACGGUUUUGCUGUCACUUAUAGAUGGAUCCGCGCCGCAUUAGCUAGUUGGUAAGGUAACGGCUUACCAAGGCAACGAUGCGUAGCCGACCUGAGAGGGUGAUCGGCCACACUGGAACUGAGAAACGGUCCAGACUCCUACGGGAGGCAGCAGUAGGGAAUCUUCCGCAAGGGGCGAAAGCCUGACGGAGCAACGCCGCGUGAGUGAUGAAGGUCUUCGAUCGUAAAACUCUGUUAUUAGGGAAGAACAAAUGUGUAAGUAACUAUGCACGUCUUGACGGUACCUAAUCAGAAAGCCACGGCUAACUACGUG